AAAGUCGUAACAAGGUUUCCGUAGGUGAACCUGCGGAAGGAUCAUUACAGUAGUCGCCCGGGUUGCCGCAAGGCCUCCCGGGUAACCUACCACCCUUUGUUUAUUACACUUUGUUGCUUUGGCAAGCCUGCCCUCGGGCUGCUGGCUCCGGCCGGCGAGCGCUUGCCAGAGGACCUAAACUCUGUUUGUUUGUAACGUCUGAGUACUAUAUAAUAGUUAAAACUUUCAACAACGGAUCUCUUGGUUCUG
rnacentral:misc_RNA from 1 species